rnacentral:rRNA from 1 species
GUAGGUGGCAAGCGUUGUCCGGAAUUAUUGGGCGUAAAGCGCGCGCAGGUGGUUCUUUAAGUCUGAUGUGACAGCCCCCGGCUCAACCGGGGAGGGUCAUUGGAAACUGGGGAACUUGAGUGCAGGAGAGGAAAGUGGAAUCCCACGUGUUGCGGUGAAAUGCGUAGAUAUGUGGAGGAACACCAGUGGCGAAGGCGACUUUCUGGCCUGUAACUGACACUGAGGCGCGAAAGCGCGGGGAGCAAACAGGGAUUAGAUACCCUGGUAGUCCACGCCGUAAACGAUGAGUGCUAAGUGUUGGGGGGGUUUCCCGCCCCUCAGUGCUGCAGCUAACGCAUUAAGCACUCCGCCUGGGGAGUACGGUCGCAAGACUG